AAUCUCAAAAGACCCCUCAAAAGAUAUAAAUUCCAUCCAAUAUCAAAAAUAACAGACUUCACUCCAACCAAUUUGGAUUUACAUAAUUUUUGUAAUCACAGAAUUUUUUUAUUGAAACACAUACAACUCUCAAUAAACAACAAUUAUAAUCUUCCAUCCAUAAUCAAUCUUCUAAUAACUUCUCAUAUAAUUCAAUCACACAAUAUUCCAAUUACAUAAUCAAUAAUUCAUAAAUCGAUCUCUCAUUUAUUCAUUCGAUAAAUUUUUUCUCAAUAUUUAGAAAUUAUCCAUUACUUUUCAACAAGAAAUAAACAAAGAGGUAGUACCAAGCUUAUCCAAACUUAUGGCUAUCACAAUCUGGCCCUUACAUUAUCUUCUUCAACUUAUUAAUGUUUUAUUUCUAAAAUUUUGGAUUCUAACUAUUAUUCCCUACUUAACCAUUUUUCACAACUAAUUCAAUCAUCCAUCCUACUAAAUUACCUAUCUCAAGAAUGAUUAAUCUAUUUUAUCAAUAUCUUAGAAAAAAUAAUUUCUACCCCUUCUAUAUAAUACCACUCCU
rnacentral:lncRNA from 1 species